rfam:Oryza sativa Japonica Group DNA, chromosome 11, cultivar: Nipponbare, complete sequence.
AAAAAGGCAAACCCUAGGUUUCUGUGUCCAACGUUUGACCGUCCGUCUUAUUUGAAAAAAUUAUGAAAAAAAUUUAAAAGACAAGUCACGCAUAAAGUAUUAAUCAUGUUUUAUCAUCUAACAACAAUGAAAAUACUAAUUAUAAAAAAAUUUCAUAUAAGACGGACAAUCAAACGUUGGACACGGAAACCCAGGGUUUGUCUUUUU